GACGAACGCUGGCGGCGUGCCUAAUACAUGCAAGUUGAGCGCUGAAGGUUGGUACUUGUACCGACUGGAUGAGCAGCGAACGGGUGAGUAACGCGUGGGGAAUCUGCCUUUGAGCGGGGGACAACAUUUGGAAACGAAUGCUAAUACCGCAUAAAAACUUUAAACACAAGUUUUAAGUUUGAAAGAUGCAAUUGCAUCACUCAAAGAUGAUCCCGCGUUGUAUUAGCUAGUUGGUGAGGUAAAGGCUCACCAAGGCGAUGAGACAUAGCCGACCUGAGAGGGUGAUCGGCCACAUUGGGACUGAGACACGGCCCAAACUCCUACGGGAGGCAGCAGUAGGGAAUCUUCGGCAAUGGACGAAAGUCUGACCGAGCAACGCCGCGUGAGUGAAGAAGGUUUUCGGAUCGUAAAACUCUGUUGGUAGAGAAGAACGUUGGUGAGAGUGGAAAGCUCAUCAAGUGACGGUAACUACCCAGAAAGGGACGGCUAACUACGUG
rnacentral:rRNA from 1 species